AUCAACACCUUCCCCCUGUCAUUUGACUCAGACCCAUCUAUCAACCUCUUGUCAACAACAAUGGAUUUAUUCCCAUUUGUAGCAACCCCAAUUAUUUCUUUUACCAAGCUUGGUAUCCACGCUUCACCAUUUGGGAGAAUCUUUUCAUCAUUCUCAUUUUUAUUGCAUCUCCCACUGUUCUCAACCAAACCAACUGGCAUGGCAGUAUCCUCAAAAUCUCUUUUCCUCAUCCUUGAUCCUGCACAAAUUGUCUUUAAGACUGCCUCUGAUCUUCUAGCUGAAAAAACAUUAUAACUGAGAUCAUCGGGUGGGCAGAGCUGUGCAUGGGUGAGGACAAGCAAACUUUUACGCCAUAUUUCUUUCCCAAAAUUAUCAGAGAUAGCACUUAUUAUCUGCUUAUCCAAGUCAUCCACUCUAUAUGCAUCCAAGCGGUCAACAUACAAAAGAACAUCUAUAGUCUUGUUCAAAAGAAACCGUUUAAUCAAUUCCAAA
rnacentral:misc_RNA from 1 species